UUCUUAUAUACAUGAGCAAAAUCUCAACUAUUUUAGAAGAGAAGCAUUUAUUAGAUAAAAAACUAAUUUAUGUUUUCAAAACAUAAAUAUUGGUGAUUUACAAUAACUAAGCAAAUCGCAUAGUGAAAGCUGGCGAUAAACCAUUCAAGUUUCUGACCUAUCAGCUUUCGACGGUAUGGUAUUGGCUUACCGUGGCAGUGACGGUUAACGGGGGAUUAGGGUUCGAUUCCGGAGAGGGAGCCUGAGAAACGGCUACCACAUCUAAGGAAGGCAGCAGGCGCGCAAAUUACCCAAUUCUAAUAGCAUAAGAGAGGUAGUGACAAGAAAUAACAGUACAAGGCAGUUAAAAUGCUUUGUAAUUGGAAUGAUAGAAAUUUAAACACUUUUUAAAGUAUCAAUUGGAGGGCAAGUCUGGUGCCAGCAGCCGCGGUAAUUCCAGCUCCAAUAGCGUAUAUUAAAAUUGUUGCAGUUAAAAAGCUCGUAGUUGAAUUUCUGUUAAAAAUAACCGGUCUGCUUUUAUUAUUAAAAGUAGUAUCAUAGUGUGUUUUUAGCAAUAAUGUCCUUUGAAAUGUUUUUUACUUUAUUGUAAGAAACAAUAUUCAGGAUUUUUACUUUGAGAAAAUUAGAGUGUCUUCAAGCAGGCUAACGUUUUGAAUACUGCAGCAUGGAAAUAAUAAGA
rnacentral:rRNA from 1 species